UGGGGGAUAUUGCACAAUGGGCGAAAGCCUUAUGCAGCGACGCCGCGUGGGGGAUGAAGGCCUUCGGGUUGUAAACUUCUUUUGCUCUGAACAAGGCAUGCCUUUGGGGUGUGUUGAGUGUAGGGGUUGAUUAGCGUCGUCUAACUACGUGCCAGCAGCCGCGGUAAUACGUAGGGCGCGAGCGUUGUCCGGAAUUAUUGGGCGUAAAGGGCUUGUAGGUGGCUGGUUGCGUCUGUCGUGAAAGCUCAUGGCUUAACUGUGGGUUUGCGGUGGGUACGGGCUGGCUUGAGUGCAGUAGGGGAGGCUGGAAUUCCUGGUGUAGCGGUGGAAUGCGCAGAUAUCAGGAGGAAUACCGGUGGCGAAUGCGUGUCUCUGGGCUGUUACUGACGCUGAGGAGCGAAAGCGUGGGGAGCGAACAGG
rnacentral:rRNA from 1 species